rnacentral:rRNA from 1 species
AUUGAACGCUGGCGGCAGGCCUAACACAUGCAAGUCGAGCGGAUGAAGGGAGCUUGCUCCUGGAUUCAGCGGCGGACGGGUGAGUAAUGCCUAGGAAUCUGCCUGGUAGUGGGGGAUAACGUCCGGAAACGGGCGCUAAUACCGCAUACGUCCUGAGGGAGCAAGUGGGGGAUCUUCGGACCUCACGCUAUCAGAUGAGCCUAGGUCGGAUUAGCUAGUUGGUGGGGUAAAGGCCUACCAAGGCGACGAUCCGUAACUGGUCUGAGAGGAUGAUCAGUCACACUGGAAGUGAGACACGGUCCAGACUCCUACGGGAGGCAGCAGUGGGGAAUAUUGGACAAUGGGCGAAAGCCUGAUCCAGCCAUGCCGCGUGUGUGAAGAAGGUCUUCGGAUUGUAAAGCACUUUAAGUUGGGAGGAAGGGCAGUAAGUUAAUACCUUGCUGUUUUGACGUUACCAACAGAAUAAGCACCGGCUAACUUCGUG